AAGUGUUAUAGCUCUUUUAGAAUUGGUCUGGCAGGUUUCUGGUCCUUACCAGAAGACCUCC
ensembl:snRNA U7 U7 small nuclear RNA